CAGCAGUCGCCGGCGGUAAUACAGAGGGUGCGAGCGUUAAUCGGAUUUACUGGGCGUAAAGCGUGCGUAGGCGGCUUCUUAAGUCGGAUGUGAAAUCCCUGAGCUUAACUUAGGAAUUGCAUUCGAUACUGGGAAGCUAGAGUAUGGGAGAGGAUGGUAGAAUUCCAGGUGUAGCGGUGAAAUGCGUAGAGAUCUGGAGGAAUACCGAUGGCGAAGGCAGCCAUCUGGCCUAAUACUGACGCUGAGGUACGAAAGCAUGGGGAGCAAACAGGAUUAGAUACCCGGGUAGUCCCUGUCUCUUAUA
rnacentral:rRNA from 1 species